rnacentral:rRNA from 1 species
AGAGUUUGAUCCUGGCUCAGAAUGAACGCUGGCGGCGUGCCUGAUACAUGCAAGUCGAGCGCGAAAGUGGCCUUCGGGCCGCGAGUAGAGCGGCGAACGGGUGAGUAACACGUGGGUAACCUGCCUUGGAGUGGGGAAUAACUUGGGGAAACCCGAGCUAAUGCCGCAUACGCUCGCCAGACCUUCGGGUCCGGCGAGGAAAGGUGGCCUAUUCUUGAAAGCUGCCGUUCCAAGAGGGGCCCGCGCCCGAUUAGCUAGUUGGUGAGGUAACGGCUCACCAAGGCGACGACCGGUAGCCGGCCUGAGAGGGUGAUCGGCCACACUGGAACUGAGACACGGUCCAGACCGCUACGGUGGGCAGCAGUACGGGAUAUUGCGCAAUGGGCGAAAGCCUGACGCAGCAACGCCGCGUGAAGGAUGAAGGCCUUCGGGUCGUAAACUUCUGUCAGGCGGGACGAACGAGCGGCGGUGAAUACCCGCCGUUUCUUGACGGUACCGCCGGAGGAAGCCCCGGCUAACUCCGUGCCAGCAGCCGCGGUAAUACGGAGGGGGCAAGCGUUAUUCGGAAUUAUUGGGCGUAAAGGGCGUGUAGGCGGCUUGAUAAGCCAAAGGUGAAAUCCCUCAGCUCAACUGAGGAACUGCCUUUGGAACUGUCUCGCUAGAGGCCAGGAGAGGGUAGCGGAAUUCCCAGUGUAGCGGUGAAAUGCGUANAUAUUGGGAGGAACACCAGUGGCGAAGGCGGCUACCUGGACUGGUACUGAC